rnacentral:rRNA from 1 species
CUAUACUGUGAAACUGCGAAUGGCUCAUUAAAUCAGUUAUCGUUUAUUUGAUAGUACCUUUACCUGGAUAACCGUGGUAAUUCUAGAGCUAAUACAUGCUAAAAACCUCGACUUCGGAAGGGGUGUAUUUAUUAGAUAAAAAACCAAUGCCCUUCGGGGCUCCUUGGUGAAUCAUAAUAACUUAACGAAUCGCAUGGCCUUGCGCCGGCGAUGGUUCAUUCAAAUUUCUGCCCUAUCAACUUUCGAUGGUAAGAUAGAGGCUUACCAUGGUCUUAACGGGUAACGGGGAAUUAGGGUUCUAUUCCGGAGAGGGAGCCUGAGAAACGGCUACCACAUCCAAGGAAGGCAGCAGGCGCGCAAAUUACCCAAUCCCGACACGGGGAGGUAGUGACAAUAAAUACUGAUACGGGGCUCUUUUGGGUCUCGUAAUUGGAAUGAGUACAAUCUAAAUCCCUUAACGAGGAACAAUUGGAGGGCAAGUCUGGUGCCAGCAGCCGCGGUAAUUCCAGCUCCAAUAGCGUAUAUUAAAGUUGUUGCCGUUAAAAAGCUCGUAGUUGAACCUUGGGCCGGGCUGACCUGUCCUCCUAAUCGAGCGCACGGGUUCGGUCUGGCCUUUCCUUCUGGGGAACCCCAUGUCCUUCAC